AAUCAACGCUGGCGGCGUGCCUAACACAUGCAAGUCGAACGCGAAAGUCCCGCAAGGGAUUAGUAGAGUGGCAAACGGGUGAGUAACGCGUGGGUGACCUACCUUCGAGUGGGGGAUAACGUCCCGAAAGGGACGCUAAUACCGCAUAACAUCCUGCUUUUGAAUGGGUGGAGAUCAAAGCCGGGGAUCGCAAGACCUGGCGCUUGAUGAGGGGCCCGCGUCUGAUUAGCUAGUUGGNGAGGUAACGGCCCACCAAGGCAACGAUCAGUACCCGGCCUGAGAGGGCGGACGGACACACUGGGACUGAGACACGGCCCAGACUCCUACGGGAGGCAGCAGUGGGGAAUUGUUCGCAAUGGGCGCAAGCCUGACGACGCAACGCCGCGUGGAGGAUGAAGGUCUUCGGAUU
rnacentral:rRNA from 1 species